UUAGAGGGCGCGCUUAGCGUAUCUAGUGGUGUGGUGUUUGAUUUCGAAGCAUGUGAAAAAUCCAGAUGAAUUGGAACUGUAAGCAGACAAUAUGUUGCCUUGACAACAGUUUGCUUUACCACCUAACAGAUAAACAAUCACACCUG